CCUACGGGAGGCAGCAGUGAGGAAUAUUGGUCAAUGGGCGAGAGCCUGAACCAGCCAAGUCGCGUGAGGGAGUACUGCCCUAUGGGUUGUAAACCUCUUUUGUCGGGGAGCAAAAGCCGGACGUGUCCGGCUGUGAGAGUACCCGAAGAAAAAGCAUCGGCUAACUCCGUGCCAGCAGCCGCGGUAAUACGGGGGAUGCGAGCGUUAUCCGGAUUUAUUGGGGUGAAAGGGUGCGCAGGCGGAUUUUUAAGUCAGCGGUCAAAUCGUGGGGCUCAACCCCAUCCAGCCGUUGAAACUGGGGAUCUAGAGUGUGCGAGAGGUAGGCGGAAUGCGUGGUGUAGCGGUGAAAUGCAUAGAUAUCACGCAGAACCCCGAUGGCGAAGGCAGCAUACCGGUGCACAACUGACGCUCAGGCACGAAAGCGUGGGUAUCGAACAGGAUUAGAUACCCUUGUAGUC
rnacentral:rRNA from 1 species